rnacentral:rRNA from 1 species
GAUGAACGCUGGCGGCGUGCCUAAUACAUGCAAGUCGAGCGAACAGACGAGGAGCUUGCUCCUUUGACGUUAGCGGCGGACGGGUGAGUAACACGUAGGUAACCUACCUAUAAGACUGGGAUAACUUCGGGAAACCGGAGCUAAUACCGGAUAAUAUUUCGAACCGCGUGGUUCGAUAGUGAAAGAUGGCUUUGCUAUCACUUAUAGAUGGACCUGCGCCGUAUUAGCUAGUUGGUAAGGUAACGGCUUACCAAGGCAACGAUACGUAGCCGACCUGAGAGGGUGAUCGGCCACACUGGAACUGAGACACGGUCCAGACUCCUACGGGAGGCAGCAGUAGGGAAUCUUCCGCAAUGGGCGAAAGCCUGACGGAGCAACGCCGCGUGAGUGAUGAAGGUCUUCGGAUCGUAAAACUCUGUUAUUAGGGAAGAACAAACGUGUAAGUAACUGUGCACGUCUUGACGGUACCUAAUCAGAAAGCCACGGCUAACUACGUG